GCGUAGUUUAGAGACUAUACGUGUCUCACGAAACGCAUUUACAUUAAAAUAUAGUUAAAUAAAGAAUUAAACACGAGUCUUUUUUCGGACAUGUUCUCACGGUGGACCCGCCAUAUGCGCCACUGACUGUGAGGGCAGUUCUAACACAUUUGGCUCUGCAUUGCUCCACUUACAGCCAAUUUAAGACCAUUGUUUUACUGUAUCUGUGAUAUACAAAUGUUCCGAGGCCUAAAACAAACCAAUCCGGACUCACAUCUGUUUUGCAACAUUGUAAAAACAAGUUAAUCACUGUUAGUUUUUCCAACACUAGCUUCUGUAGGCUACAUUUCCCUUACGGCCCACCAGACGAGUGUGUUGUUGUCGAAUGGCUCAUUCAGAACCGAACCUCAUUCCAGUCCGUCCACGUGCUAAAGCCUCAAUCAGAGGCAGAGGAAAGGAUCAAAGUGAGUUAAACCUACUCUUGAGAGUGGAUAAACAAGCCUCAAAUGGAACCUGAGACGCAAAAAAAAGAGGAGAAAGAGGAGAGGAGAGGAGAGGAGGAGGGGAGAAAUCAAUUUUCCCAGACAGAGGCUGGCUGGUCUAAUGGAGGAGGAGAGGACAUAUUUUCCUCUGAUUACCUCCUGUAGCCUCCCUGGCAAAACUUGAAAGCUGGGAUCGCUGCAGCGGCCUCACUCAUGCGACCUCUCCGCAGAAUGUAUGGAGUCUUUCACUCUGCAGCAAUCAGGCCUCGAGGUGGACAAGAGAACAAAUCACAACACGCAAAAUCACUGAUAGCAAGGAAAUCAAACACAGUGACCGAAUAGACUUUGGACUUAAAGGAAAUAAUGUCUCCAUAAACAGAAAUGCUUAUUUUUCUCUUUUGAAGCCACAUCUAAGAUAAUUAUUUUUACAUUUUUAUACUGCCUGUAACCUGCUGUUACGUCUCUGAGAGAGAAAAUGAGCUGGAUUAAACGGAUAAAGGUU